AUACUCUUGUUUCUCUUCAGAUCACAUAAGUCUUUUGCCUUUAACUAAAGAUUUUCAUGGAGAGGAACAAUUCUGAAUUUUGAACAAAUUUUUUGAAGACUUGUUCUUGCAAGGGG